UUUCCGUAGGUGAACCUGCGGAAGGAUCAUUAAUGAGUUGUCAUGGGGUUCGAUGCUGGCAGCCAAUUUUUGGAUGCAUGUGCUUGCCCUAACAAUCAUCUUCCAAACACCUGUGCACAUUUGUAAGGGAGUCUUGAGUUGGUUGCCGCUCUUGGGUGAUUUUCUCACAUUCCCUUAAAUCAUUAUACGCUAUUAACAAUGUUGAACGUGCUCUGUGCCGCAAGGCUAUUAAUAUAAUACAACUUUUAACAACGGAUCUCUUGGCUCUC
rnacentral:misc_RNA from 1 species